GCCAGAUCCUGCUUGAAAAGUGUAAAGCAGCAGAGAUGCAGCCGACAUAUGGAGAUGACGGAACACUCCCGACUCCAAGACGGCAGAGGAAGAUGGAGAGAAGCUCAAAGAGAGCAGGUCUGGGCAGGCAGCGAUGGUGAUGCGUCAGCGGCGCUCCGUGCCGUGUCAGUCACCAUAUGCUGGGAGAGAGGAGCAGGGAGUCGUAUCACGGUGGUAGUUUUUUGGCGUCGUGAGGAGGAGGAGGAGGAGGAAGAGGGGGAGUCAGAGCUCAGGGCUCACGGUACAUGUAGCACAUCAGAUCUCCCUCAAUUAAUCCAACAUUAGGUGCCUGGGAUCCACGAGUCAGUGCUUUUGGAAAGCAUGUGUGGCUCAAAUCUAAUUAUUCUCUCCCUUUCUUUGAGCCGGAGAGGGUGGAGAGAGAUAGAGAGAGAGAGAGUGGCCAUCCACGUAGCUAUAGGUUUUGUUAUGCUGUGAUUUCUCUCUCUCUCUCCCUCGCUCGCCCGCUCACUCCGAACCCCCUUCUACCCCCACCUCCUCUUCUCUCUCACUCAUUCUCCAUCUCUCGCUCACACACACACGCGCCAAACACUCUCUCUCUCCUCCUCUGCCUCUCUCUCUCCGUCUGUCUCUCCCUCCCUCAGCUUCACUCGCUCUUGUGCUGUAAGUUCAUUUGCUGUGUCAAGCAACAACUGGCUCGGGAGUGGGCAGUGGGUUUUGAUCCUUUUGUCAAGCAUCCCCCCUGCGAGUGUGUACCGCGUCCACCUGCGCACCACGGGACUGGCCGCCUGGCUCUCUCUAACAUCGCCGCACCGUCCUGGGUUUAUCACGAUCAGGCAUCCCACCUUGCUGAGAUGGGCGGCACGAUGAGAUGCUGAAGGUUUGACGGGGCGAACCCGCUACUGUGGACUAUCAUCAUCACCAUCAUCGGAAUCAUCGCAGUGGCAAUGGGAGUCAGGACAUGGAUGCUAGCCGGAGGAUCUCCGCAGGGUCCUUGCAUCCCAGAAUUGUUCAUGCCGUUGACUUCAAACCGUUAUUUGGCUAUCCUUGCAUCCUCAAACAGCCCAGCAAGAGCUUGUGCCUCUGUCCUAAAGACUUUAAGGCUUCCAGCUGUCAUUACUUUCUCUAAAACCAACCAAUGGACCAUUGAGAGCCAAGCCAGCACUAACCGGUAUUUUUGGACAGUGGAAGCUCUGAGUUGCCACCGAACGAGGGUUAAACCCAUCAAAGUCACUGACGAGUAA
ensembl:lncRNA